rnacentral:rRNA from 1 species
CACGUAGGUGGCAAGCGUUGUCCGGAUUUACUGGGCGUAAAGAGCGCGCAGGCGGUCGUUCAAGUCGCGUGUGAAAGCCCCCGGCUCAACUGGGGAGGGUCACGCGAUACUGAUCGACUCGAAGGCAGGAGAGGGUAGUGGAAUUCCCGGUGUAGUGGUGAAAUGCGUAGAUAUCGGGAGGAACACCAGUGGCGAAGGCGACUACCUGGCCUGUUCUUGACGCUGAGGCGCGAAAAGCUAGGGGAGCAAACGGG